GGUCCGGGCGUUAUCCGGAUUUAUUGGGUGUAAAGGGAGCGUAGACGGAUCUGCAAGUCUGGAGUGAAAGCCCGGGGCUCAACCCCGGGACUGCUUUGGAAACUGUGGAUCUAGAGUGCCGGAGAGGUAAGCGGAAUUCCUAGUGUAGCGGUGAAAUGCGUAGAUAUUAGGAGGAACACCAGUGGCGAAGGCGGCUUACUGGACGGUAACUGACGUUGAGGCUCGAAAGCGUGGGGAGC
rnacentral:rRNA from 1 species